GAACUGAUUAUCCGACAGGCGGAAUGAUGGGGUAACGCCUUGAAACGCCGCCCUGAUACUCCGACCAGCAAUGUAAACGGAAACGUAGAUUGUUGGAAGCUCGGUGAAGUCGACAGAGAGCAGCCGUACCGCGGAAGAAUCUGCGGCGAAAGCUGUCCAGAGGUGGACGGUGCUGCCUAUAUGCCGGGGGUCUAUAAA
rnacentral:ncRNA from 1 species